rnacentral:rRNA from 1 species
AUUGAACGCUGGCGGCAGGCUUAACACAUGCAAGUCGAGCGGGGGAAGGUAGCUUGCUACCGGACCUAGCGGCGGACGGGUGAGUAAUGCUUAGGAAUCUGCCUAUUAGUGGGGGACAACAUCUCGAAAGGGAUGCUAAUACCGCAUACGUCCUACGGGAGAAAGCAGGGGAUCUACGGACCUUGCGCUAAUAGAUGAGCCUAAGUCGGAUUAGCUAGUUGGUGGGGUAAAGGCCUACCAAGGCGACGAUCUGUAGCGGGUCUGAGAGGGUGAUCCGCCACACUGGGACUGAGACACGGCCCAGACUCCUACGGGAGGCAGCAGUGGGGAAUAUUGGACAAUGGGGGGAACCCUGAUCCAGCCAUGCCGCGUGUGUGAAGAAGGCCUUAUGGUUGUAAAGCACUUUAAGCGAGGAGGAGGCUACUUUAGUUAAUACCUAGAGAUAGUGGACGUUACUCGCAGAAUAAGCACCGGCUAACUCUGUGCCAGCAGCCGCAGUAA